CAGGCAGUUGUGCUGGACCCUCCGUACUUUAUACAGGAGAUGACGGUAAACUUUGAAGUUUAAGAGGUUCUGUCAUUUUGGUUAUAAGUACAAGAACUCAGGCAGUUGUGCUGGACCCUCUGUACUUCAUACAGGAGAUGACAGUAAACUUCCAAG